UACGGAGGGGGCUAGCGUUAUUCGGAAUUAUUGGGCGUAAAGGGCGUGUAGGCGGCUUCGUAAGUCUUGUGUGAAAGCCCUCGGCUCAACCGAGGAAUUGCACGAGAAACUGCGUGGCUCGAGUCCGGGAGAGGAUAGUGGAAUUCCCAGUGUAGCGGUGAAAUUCGUAGAUAUUCGCAAGAACACCAGUGGCGAAGGCGGCUCACUGGCCCGGUACUGACGCUGAGGUGCGAAAGCGUGGGGAGCAAACAGG
rnacentral:rRNA from 1 species